CGAAGAAUCUGAAUCCAGCUCGCUCGGCGCCGUCGCCCGCUCGCCCCCUCCUCCCCCUCGGCUGCUUGGCCCCUCGCCGGCGCCGCUGCCCCCGAGUCCCAGUCUCCAGAUCGGCUCGCUCCUCGCCUCUUCUCCCAAUGAAUCUCGUCAGACCACGGCAAACCCAAGACGAAGCCGCCGACGAGGAUACCGGAGAGACACACCCACAGCCACCGCGCGAAUCCCAGAGAAGCGGCGGAGGAGAUGCUUCUCGAGGAGCUGCUCCGCUGCCAGAUCCAUGAGUGGUACCCGGCCUUCCGUCGCCACUCCAUCCCCACCGUCAUCAUCCCGCUCCCAGCCGCCUUCCUCCGCUACCUCGCCGGCCAAGCAGCCUAUCCCGACCCCGACGCCGACUCCGAUGAGGAGACGCUUCCGUUCCUCCUCCCCGUGAUAACCUCCGGCCGCCAGCCCUUCGCGCCCAUCCACGCGCACCACCCCGACCCGGUUUCCCUCCUCAACUCCGAGCUCUUCUUCGGCUCCAGCAACGAGGACGUCCACGACCCCGACGCCGACCACCCUCACCGGCCGGAAUCCCCGGAGCUGGAGGCGGUCAUCGACGCCGCCAUUGCGGAGCUAGGCGGCGCCGCGCUCCCCAAGCUCAACUGGAGCUCGCCCAAGGACGCCACCUUCAUGUCCGCGGAUGGCACGACCCGGUGCACGUGCUUCGCCGAGGUUGCCAUGCUGCUCCGCGCCUCCGACUGUGUGGCCCACGACCUUGCCUCCGCGCGCCAAUCGUGCGAGGAUUUUGUGCGCCCUGAGGGUGCUCGACGGAAUGCCCGGAAGGUUAGUGCUGGUGCCGAGGAAGGUGCUCGAUCAAAUGCCAAUGAGGCUGAUGGUAGCAGAGGCAUCAAUGAUGCUCCGAGUGAUUCAAGGGAGAUAGGCGAGGAGGGAGGCAAGACAAAUGGUGCGGUUGGUGAUUUGGUAGAUUCACAUGAGGAAGAAAGUGAUGGGGAUACUUGGGUGGAUGAUGGCUUCCAAUACUACCUUGCCCUCCGCAAGUGGUACCCAGGCCUCCGCCCAGAGUCAGAGUUCAGAUGCUUUGUACGGGAGCGGAAGCUGGUCGCUGUGUCCCAGAGAGAUGCAUCAGCUUACUACCCAUCACUGCCUGGAUGGAGUUCUGAGGUUCAACCGAAGAUUAAGGCUUUCUUUGAGGAAGUAAUUGAGCCGCAGUUUGGUUCAAACAAUUAUACAUUUGAUGUGUAUGUGAGAGCUGAUGGGCGGGUCAAGUUGAUAGAUUUCAAUCCAUGGGGUGGUUAUACCUUGCCACUGCUGUUUACUUGGGAGGAGCUUGAAGAGGAAGGAAGAGGACAUGAGCUUGAAUUUCGAGUGGUCAUGCAGCAGGGUGCAGUGAGGCCGGGAUUGAUGACAGCAGUGCCGUAUGAUAUGCUUGAUUGGGGGGAGGGGAGUGGCUGGGAUGUUUUGCUGAAGAAGGCUGAUGAAGAGCUUGGCAGACAGAUGAACUCACUAGAUGGUGAUUCGUAAUUGCAUUUCAGGAAAAGGUGUUCGAACUACGCAGUAGGUGCACAACCUAAAAUGAUGACUGCUAUUUUUUUUUUACCUGCCACAUACUAGCAGUCUCGUGCGACCAUGCUGUUAUUUGGUUUUGGUUACUCUUAUAGUGAUAAGUUGUUAGUGCAGAUCACCUCUUAUAGUCUCAUUGCGUCAUGUAUCAGAUAUAAUCACCCACAUAAUUCAUAUGUGGUUUAGUGGAGCUGAUGGGUCUGCAUCAAAUUGUUGGAUUUCCUGCCCUCAAGUGUUAGGCUUGUUGGACACCUUCCAGCUAUGUGUGCUACCAUAUAAAAUCGGACUCCCUUCAAGUGUCAUGUGAUUUUAUUUGUUUAAUGAUCAUAUAUAUGAUGAUUUUUGUGAUCUUAGGAUCUCAGGGUAUGCUUACUAUUUUUUCUGGUUCUUUAGCAGCUUUAAAAGAGUCUAGUGUCUCCUGAGGAAAUAAUUCCAUGGUAAGUAAAAUUUAAAAUAUAAAUUGCUUGUAGAGUCCAUACAAGUCAUCACUGUUGAUUUGUCUGAACUUGUUAUCUGUUUUGUGUUGUGCAUGUCUAUGCUUCUCCA